CUUUGCUCAGUCUUACAGAAAAACUCCCAGGAUCCAAUGCUGCUCUUCUCCAACAACUUUUUCAAAUAUUACACAAAAUUGCAACAAAUUCUUCCAUUAACCAAAUGCCAUCGUACAUGGAUAGCACCAUGUAUCUUAUGUCUUCCUAGCUAUCAUAAUGAAGUACUGGCAAAUGAUAUUACCAAAAAAGAUUUCUCUGGUAACUUUCAUGAUUGAAAACUCUCCCAAAAUUUUCGGAAUAGACAUGGUUUCAGUUUCGUAUGAAACGUCACUUUUUCAUCCACAAGGAGCAAAGGCCUCAUGUUCCCAAAAUACUCCACCUAACAUCGGGAACAUCCAGGAAACAGAAUAUGGACUCAGCAGCUGUUCCAAUGGGAGGACACGCAUGCCUGGUCAUGAUGCACUGGCGAUAAGUCCAGCUGCUUCUCUUUCCUAUGAGGGCAUUAUAGCCCCGGCUUGCCUCCCAGGUGAAACCUGGUCCAUGUGAGACGUGGGUGGGCUUCCAGCUUCCAACAGUCUGGUGCUUGGGCCAGGGACUUGAAGAAUGGCCGAAAAAUGCUGGAGGAAUGCUGCUUGGUGUGGAGCUCCACGGGAAGAAAAAGAAAAGGAUCGUAUUGGGCACCGAAGCAACAGGUACACAUCUAGUGCUAGCUUAAAACUUCAUUUUUUAAAGUAUUGCUAGAGGUGUGGGAGGAUAUGGGCUAAGUUUGGAAUCAGUGCUAAACCAACGCUGGUUUCCACUUAGGUUCAGCAGCG
rnacentral:lncRNA from 1 species